CCAAACCAGGACUAAACCAGAACUAAACCAGAACUAAACCAGGACUAAACCAAACCAGGACUAAACCAAACCAGGACUAAACCAGGACUAAACCAGGUCUAAACCAGGUCUAAACCAGGUCUAAACCAGGACUAAACCAAACCAGGUCUAAACCAGGACUGAACCAGGACUAAACCAAACCAGGUCUAAACCAAACCAGGACUAAACCAGGACUAAACCAGGUCUAAACCAGGUCUAAACCAGGUCUAAACCAGGUCUAAACCAGGACUAAACCAAACCAGGUCUAAACCAGGUCUAAACCAGGACUAAACCAGGACUAAACCAGGUCUAAACCAGGACUAAACCAGGACUAAACCAGGUCUAAACCAGGACUAAACCAGGUCUAAACCAGGUCUAAACCAGGACUAAACCAAACCAGGUCUAAACCAGGACUAAACCAGGUCUAAACCAAACCAAGUCUAAACCAGGACUAAACCAGGUCUAAACCAGGACUAAACCAGGACUAAACCAAACCAGGUCUAAACCAGGACUAAACCAGGACUAAACCAAACCAGGACUAAACCCGGACUUAAGUGAACUAUGUCAUUUCCACUGCAGCUGAAACAGAAACGACUCAAAUCUAAAUGAGACAAAAUCAAACUGAAGAAAUCCUGAUCCUGCCUGAAGGAUCCGGACCACAGUUUGAGAAACACUGGUCUAAACAGACUCUUGACCCGGACUUGGACUUGACUCGAGUCUUGAACCAGACUGGGACUUGACUCUUGAACUGGACUGGGACUUGACUCUCGAGUCUUGACCUGGACUCGGGACUUGAUUCUCAAGUCUUGACCUGGACUUGGGAUUUGACUCUCGAGUCUUGACCCGGACUCGGGACUUGACUCGAGUCUUGACCUGGACUCGGGACUUGACUCGAGUCUUGACCUGGACUCGGGUCUCUGGUCGUGGGGUUUUUGUGGCUGAUGUUUCUGUUUGUGCCUUAAAGCUCGGAGUCGAGUCACUGUUUAAAAACUGUAAAUAUUCAGAUUUUCUGUAAAUCGCCUCAAGUUUCUGUUGAUAAAAUUAAAGUUUGAUCAAGAAAAAAA